rnacentral:rRNA from 1 species
UACGGAGGGGGGCUAGCGUUGUUCGGAAUUACUGGGCGUAAAGCGCACGUAGGCGGCUUUGCAAGUCAGAGGUGAAAGCCCGGGGGCUCAACCCCCGGAAUUGCCUUUGAGACUGCAUCGCUAGAAUUGUGGAGAGGUAAGUGGAAUUCCGAGUGUAGAGGUGAAAUUCGUAGAUAUUCGGAAGAACACCAGUGGCGAAGGCGACUUACUGGACACAUAUUGACGCUGAGGUGCGAAAGCGUGGGGAGCAAACAGG